UACGUAGGGGGCAAGCGUUGUCCGGAUUCAUUGGGCGUAAAGAGUGUGUAGGCGGCCAACUAAGUCAGACGUGAAAUCCCCAGGCUCAACCUGGGAACUGCGUCUGAUACUGGAUGGCUUGAGUUUGGGAGAGGGAUGCGGAAUUCCAGGUGUAGCGGUGAAAUGCGUAGAUAUCUGGAGGAACACCGGUGGCGAAGGCGGCAUCCUGGACCAACACUGACGCUGAGUGAGCGAAAGCCAGGGGAGCAAACGGG
rnacentral:rRNA from 1 species